GGAUACGAUCAUACCAGCACUAAAGCACCGGAUCCCAUCAGAACUCCGAAGUUAAGCGUGCUUGGGCGAGAGUAGUACUAGGAUCGGUGACCUCCUGGGAAGUCCUCGUGUUGCAUUCC
rnacentral:rRNA from 16 species